CAAUUACAUUUGCUUAAUUUCCAGAAUGAAUUACUGGAAAGCGGGGGAACCACUUUUUUGGGGCGAAUCAGUGCAAUGCACAGUAGGGAACCAUCUUCCGAGUCCGUCAGCUAACCUCGUCAGCACAGAUGGGUCAAUUA
rnacentral:sRNA from 2 species